rnacentral:tRNA from 1 species
GCCCCCAUCGUCUAGGGGACCAGGACGCGGGCCUUUCAAGCCCAAAACGGGGGUUCGAAUCCCCCUGGGGGCACCA